rnacentral:Y_RNA from 1 species
GUGACGGAUGCCGGUGAAACUACAGCUUAAGGUGCUCCAUACGCAGGUUCGAUUCCUGCCGUGCUCUUACCGAGCAUGUGGCCGAGUGGUCAGGCAGGAAACGUUUCACCAUUACUAGCCGUCACGAC